UACGAAGGGGGCUAGCGUUGUUCGGAAUUACUGGGCGUAAAGGGCGCGUAGGCGGCUCUGUGCGUCGUGCGUGAAAGGCCUGGGCUCAACCCAGGAAUGGCGCACGAUACGACGGAGCUAGAGUGCAGGAGAGGAUGGUGGAAUUCCCAGUGUAGAGGUGAAAUUCGUAGAUAUUGGGAAGAACACCGGUGGCGAAGGCGGCCAUCUGGACUGCAACUGACGCUGAGGCGCGAAAGCGUGGGGAGCAAACAGG
rnacentral:rRNA from 1 species